UUGAGUGCGUAGGACUUGUACCUUAUGUCUUCAUGAACGCACUUCCGAACAGUCUUCUCAUCCACGUUCAGCUCCCGAGCCAGACACCGCAUUGAUUUGCCAGGAUCUUCAUCAAUCGCGUUCUGAAGCUGCUCGACGAACUCCGGAGUCCUGGUGGAAUCUCGCCUCCUCUUGUGGGUCUUCCUUUGUAACGAAACUUCAUCGUGGUUCUCUCCACCCGCCACCCUUUCAUCAAACUCCUUCUUAAUUCGAUAGCACAGGCUCCUGGGCAACUUGUUGAACUCUUGUAACGAAAUUCGUUCCUACCCCGUCCUCCACUUCCCUCUGUACCUACUUACUGCCCAACCCCCUCGCCCACUUACAAUAUCCUUAUAUGGUCCUCACUCCUCACCUGCGACGCCUGUCCUCGCCCGCUUCUGAUUGGUGCUAUGAUAUGACGUACAUCUAUAUGUAUGACGUGUGUGUAUGACGUUUGAAUAUAGCGGCCGACGCCGAACGCCGAGCAGGAGCUGUGAAAGAUUCAUUCGAAAGCCAACCGCCGUAGUGGCCUGACGUAUCGUUAUUCAAAGUCUCGGCCGACUGUUUAUUACUUUUGUAUUCAAUCGUCAAAUUUGCAAUACAUACUUGAAGAAAAGAAAACCGUGUUGGUUAUACGGCUCGAACAAGAGGCCCCAAAACAGACUAUCACAGAAGAAGAAAUUGUUUAUUUACUUUUUACAUUUGUUACAAAUGGUGCCGUGACCCGGAUCUAAAUAAAAAAACUCAAGAAUUGAAAUUGGUUCCGCAAGAAAUUGCUCUACAAGUCUACGAACAAGAUGUGGGCAAGACCGUUCUUCCUGACAUUCCUGUUCUAUCUGACAUCUCCGACAACGGCCAACGUUCUCUUCCUGCCCCGAGGCCAUCUCUACGCUUCAUACGACCACUGGACUCUUCACAUCCCCAUCGAAACCAGGACAUCAUGGACGUUUGUAUUGAAGCUGGAGCAUCAUGUGAAGCUCUUUAAAAGUAAAGUCAGUAGUAUAUUUGCAGAGCACCGCCAACAAUUGCGAAGUGACCAGGCAAUUCAGCUUUUUGCUAAGUUUAACCAGAGCGUAAAAGUUAUUGACAUUGUAAUAGAUACUUGGUCAAAUGUACUUGUUGAUCUUUCGGAAACUAAUGUUUCACUCCCCGAAGCAGUAAACUUCAUUCCCCCACUUCAGGACAAAAGUGUCCAUUUGUCUAACUUGAAGAAACAUAUUCAGCAGAUUCGAGUACGAAAUGCUCAGCAUAAUAAAACUGUCGUUAUCCCCGCCAUCUCGGUCACAACGUGUAUUGUGGUUGCGUUAGUGCUAUUUACUGUUCUAUACGUCCGAUGUCAUGUGUUUAAACCCAUUAUGAUCCGACCCCAGAAAGUAUCCGCUCAAAAUCCUGCCCGUCAGUGUCAGAAAAGUGGCCCGUUUCUAAGUUUUCUUGAACUCGGAAGAUUUGUUCUGCGAAAAGUCUUGACUAAAGAAAAGCAAUUUUUGUUCUGUGAGCAAACGUUCCCUAAACCGAUGAUUUUUGUGCAACAAAGUACCUCUACCCAUCUAUGUCAGCAUUAUCAGGCUUGAUGGAGCAUUUCACAAUGGGUCACUUAAUAAAAACCCAACUGCCUACCCAUUUUGACUGAUUUUUCUUCUUCAGCAGAUUGUCAUCUCUCUCCAGUCUCCAUGGCUACUGAAUGAAGACCUGGACUCCUGAAUAGAAUGCAGUACAAACUACUGACCUACUCCCAAGAACCAGCACCGCCUGCUACUCUUGGUUCACCAGCUGACAGCUGUUGGCAAAACUUU